UCAUUAAUAAAAUGAACUAAAUACAUUUAUGUAUACUUUUUUCCUUUUUCCUUAAUGCUGCAUAAAAGAAUAUGCCACCACUUCAUGAAGCCUUUUAAAUAUCAGUGAGUUGGAAACUAUUGUUGCUUGCUUUAUUGGUUAUUUGCGAACUGUUGACUAGAGGAAUGGAAUGGAAAAUCAGCCUUUGCAUAUAGCACCAUCUCUGUUGCAAAUACAAAAGUUCCAAAGAAGAGGUUUGGCAGAGUAGAAGGUGGAGGUUGACUUUGAAUCUCUUCCUUUUGUAAUGAUUAAGUACAAAUUGAAAGAUAGGUCUCCAAGUAUUUCUGAUAAAAGGAACCAAGAAUCUACGUGUAUUCAAGCAGUUGUAUUUGUGCAUGCGACAGACAAAACUUUGCUGUAGUGCUCAAGUGGAACGUUCCUGAAAGUGCUGGUGAAGACAAGCAGCAUUUUUACUAUUGAUAAAAACGCUGAGAAAUGCAUCAGAUGUACAAUGACAGGGAGAGCUCAGCCAUCUUGUCAGCUGUAUACUGGAAAUACUACAUGUUUUGUCAUCGUGAAUAACACUGCUUCAACAAUACAAUUGUUUUUGCAGGGUCACUGUGCUGUGAAUUUGGGUCAAGGACCUGAGUGGGUAAGGAGGCCUCGUUUAUCUUCAGCCAAGGUUGAGACAAUAGUCAUCAGUCCACUUGACUCCAGCUGUGAAGUGAACAACUUACUUUGUUUUAGUAAUGAUUUGAGAGGCUCAUCUAUAACAUCACCAAUACUGUUCAGUGCGGCAAUCUGUCCACGUCUCCAUGAAACUACCAGGAGAAAAGAGAAAGGAGACCAAAGCUACCAGUGCCCCAGAUGAAGAGCUUGCUGCUGCUGAGUUGCUAUUGUACGCUAUAUUUGCCUGUUCUGCAGGUGUCAGUAUUUUAGGGUAUGCUAAUUUCAUUUUUAAUUUAUGUUAAUUUUGCAUUUAUAGCUUUUUUAUAUCUGGCCCUGUUUGCCACAUUCUAAAAACUUCACUAAAAAAAUCUUACAUUUGCAGUAUGAUUUUUGCUUUCCUGAGCUAAUGCAUGCAGAAAAGAAGCAAAAAGCACUUUACAGAUGUUAAUGAGAAGCUGUACAACACCUCAAAGCACAGAGAGAGAGAGUACUAAUAUUCUUAUUUUACAGAUGGAGUAGUUGAGUCAAGAAGGCUUGAGUGCUUUGCUGUAAGUUAUGCAGGAAUGUGAAGUUAAAGAUGGACACAGCGGCAAAAUAUAUAUUUGGAUCAGGUUGCCCGGAAAGACUGUGCAUGCUCACACUCUGGAGCACUCAAGGCCAGGCUGGAUAGGGCUGUGAGCAACCUCAUCUAGUAGGAAGAGUCCCUGCUUGUGGCAGGGGUUUGAAACUAGAUGAUCUUAAAGUUCUUUCCAAACCAAACCAUUCCAUGAUAUUAGUCCAAUUCUAGUUCAAGUCCUGUUGUGAUGGACCGUGAGUUCAUGAUUUCCUGACUAAGACUGCCUGGUUCUGGUGUCUGCAUGCAUGUGUCAUAGACCUUCUGUACAAGUUUAAUUUUCCUGACAUAAUUCUGAAUAACAAAUAGCAAAAAGUAUUGCUGUUUUUAGAGCUGGAGCAAGGGAGGCCUUCAAAACUUUAGUACGUUAAAACCAGAAGUUUCCAUAUGCAUCAGAAAAAUAUUCUUCCAGAAGCCCUUAGCUGUGUUGGGUUCAUCUGAGGAGAAUGAUGCAUGGGUGUUCACCUGGGCUGCCUUACAGCAACUGGGGUACUUAUCCUAUUCUCCCUUGACGAAGUUGGCAUUAAAGAUAAACAUCUUUAAUGCAGAUUCCUCUAGAUGAUGACAAAACAAGGUGUUCUACGAUAUU
rnacentral:lncRNA from 1 species